rnacentral:rRNA from 1 species
UAGGGAAUCUUCGGCAAUGGGGGGAACCCUGACCGAGCAACGCCGCGUGAGUGAAGAAGGUUUUCGGAUCGUAAAGCCCUGUUGUUAAGGAAGAACGAGUGUGAGAAUGGAAAGUUCAUGCUGUGACGGUACCUAAUCAGAAAGCCACGGCUAACUACGUGCCAGCAGCCGCGGUAAUACGUAGGUGGCAAGCGUUAUCCGGAAUUAUUGGGCGUAAAGCGCGCGUAGGCGGUUUUUUAAGUCUGAUGUGAAAGCCCACGGCUCAACCGUGGAGGGUCAUUGGAAACUGGAAGACUUGAGUGCAGAAGAGGAAAGGGGAAUUCCAUGUGGAGCGGUGAAAUGCGCAAAGAUAUGGAGGAACACCAGUGGCGAAGGCGACUUUCUGGUCUGUAACUGACGCUGAUGUGCGAAAGCGUGGGGAUCAAACAAG